GCCUGUGUAGCUCAGUUGGUUAGAGCAUGUCAUUAGUAAUGACAAGGUCGGUAGUUCGAAUCUGCUCUCAGGCU
rfam:Thalassiosira oceanica strain CCMP1005 To_g31528, whole genome shotgun sequence.